CCUACGGGAGGCAGCAGUGGGGAAUAUUGGGCAAUGGGCGCAAGCCUGACCCAGCAACGCCGCGUGAAGGAAGAAGGCUUUCGGGUUGUAAACUUCUUUUCUCAGGGACGAAGCAAGUGACGGUACCUGAGGAAUAAGCCACGGCUAACUACGUGCCAGCAGCCGCGGUAAUACGUAGGUGGCAAGCGUUAUCCGGAUUUACUGGGUGUAAAGGGCGUGUAGGCGGGAAAGCAAGUCAGAUGUGAAAACCAUGGGCUCAACCUGUGGCCUGCAUUUGAAACUGUUUUUCUUGAGUACUGGAGAGGCAGACGGAAUUCCUAGUGGAGCGGUGAAAUGCGUAGAGAUUAGGAGGAACACCAGUGGCGAAGGCGGUCUGCUGGACAGCAACUGACGCUGAGGCGCGAAAGCGUGGGGAGCAAACAGGAUUAGAUACCCUUGUAGUC
rnacentral:rRNA from 1 species